CGCUGGCGGUAUGCUUACACAUGCAAGUCGAACGGUCUCUUCGGAGAUAGUGGCGGACGGGUGAGUAACGCGUGAGAAUCUGCCUUCAGGUCUGGGACAACCAUUGGAAACGGUGGCUAAUACCGGAUGAGCAGAGAUGUAAAAGAUUAAUUGCCUGAAGAUGAGCUCGCGUCUGAUUAGCUAGUUGGUGGGGUAAGAGCCUACCAAGGCGACGAUCAGUAGCUGGUCUGAGAGGAUGAUCAGCCACACUGGGACUGAGACACGGCCCAGACUCCUACGGGAGGCAGCAGUGGGGAAUUUUCCGCAAUGGGCGAAAGCCUGACGGAGCAAUACCGCGUGAGGGAGGAAGGCUCUUGGGUCGUAAACCUCUUUUCUCAGGGAAGAAAAAAAUGACGGUACCUGAGGAAUAAGCAUCGGCUAACUCCGUGCCAGCAGCCGCGGUAAUACGGAGGAUGCAAGCGUUAUCCGGAAUGAUUGGGCGUAAAGCGUCCGCAGGUGGCUAUGUAAGUCUGCUGUUAAAGAGUCUAGCUCAACUAGAUAAAAGCAGUGGAAACUACAUGGCUAGAGUGCGUUCGGGGCAGAGGGAAUUCCUGGUGUAGCGGUGAAAUGCGUAGAGAUCAGGAAGAACACCGGUGGCGAAAGCGCUCUGCUAGGCCGCAACUGACACUGAGGGACGAAAGCUAGGGGAGCGAAUGGGAUUAGAUACCCCAGUAGUCCUAGCCGUAACGAUGGAUACUAGGCGUGGCUUGUAUCGACCCGAGCCGUGCCGUAGCUAACGCGUUAAGUAUCCCGCCUGGGGAGUACGCACGCAAGUGUGAAAC
rnacentral:rRNA from 1 species